rnacentral:pre_miRNA from 1 species
GAAUGCUGCCAUACUUUUCCACGGCUUUCUUGAACUUCCCGACCGCUAACAGAUCCGGAUAAGAAGCUCAAGCAAGGCGUGGGAAAAUAUAGAGGGAUUC